NGUAGCUGACGAGUCCCUAAUAGGACGAAACGCGCGUCUUGGAU
rnacentral:hammerhead_ribozyme from 1 species